rnacentral:lncRNA from 1 species
ACAUCAUUGUACUUUAAAAGGGCUCUGUGAGGUCAAGAGAGGCCAGUGUGUAGAAGGAGAAUCCUAAGCCUAGUAAGGUGGAGGUGCCCAGGUCAGGAUGGCAUUUCUCUGUUGUACCUCUCAAGAAUGAAUGGCUUGCCAGGCACAAUGGUGCACACCUGUAAUCCCAGCAGCUCAAGAGACUGAGAAAGGAGGAUUGCAAGUUCAAAGCCAGCCUCAGCCAUUAGCAAGGCCCUAAGCAACUUAUUGAGACCCUAUCUCUAAAUAAAAUAUAAAAAAAGUGUUGGGGAUGUGGCUCAGUGGUUAAGUGUCCCUGGGUUCAAUUCCUGGUACCAAAAAUAUGGCUUUCUAAAUACCACCAAGGCUAGAUAAUCUUAGAAAUGGAAGAUCAGGAAGAGCCUGCAGAGUCAUUUCUAGGUCCUUCUCUUUCCUUCCUAUCUUUGUCUCACAGUUUGCACAGAGAUCACAAAUUGGCAAUUUACAAACAAGUUUUUCUUUUUAAAGUGCUUGGCAUUAGUUUCCAAGACUUAUAAGUUAGCAGAUUUCAUAUAAUUGAAUAUGCUUUUAUAUAAUAUUUCAGGAUUCUACCUCUCUAGAGAACUGAGGAUUAUCUGGCAAGAGCCAGCCUUCAUUAUAGCAAAGCCACAGUUAGAUGGGACCAAGCAGCCACACUUGUCUUUAAUAGAGUAGGAGUCCCUCAUUUACCUUAGCUCUUGUCAGCACACUCUCUUUCUCCUUUACCUACAAUAUUUAGAUAAUCUUGUUAGGUCAGGGUAGGAAUGACUUGGUUGAGUGACUGGUGGGCUUCCGGGGCCCUUCCAAGGGCCUGAGAACUAUGACUAUUAUAGAAAUUUGAUCCAAUCUCUGAACCCACACAUGUAAAUGAAGUACUUAAGUGGCUUUGUCAUGAAAGAAAUCAGGGUACAUUGGAGAAUCCAGCAUGUUUGAGUGCCAAUCUGGGUCUACCCUGAGUCACUGAGAAGGCUCAGUUUAUCAGAAAGAAAAACCUUGCCUACUGAUUUGAGAUUUACUUGCUUCUAGAAGGGAAUCCAGAUAACACAGGAUUACUUGAAGGUUCAAACUUGGAUACUUUUUAUACUCAUCACUUUUUCUGUCUUUCCCAGAAUCAACUAGUAUGAGUUGAUGAAGAGUAAUAGCUUUCAAGGUUUCAGUCUAUCGGUAGUUCGGCACUUCACGCUCUCUGUAUUGAAGUGCUUGCAAAUGCUUUACGUAGAGAAAAUCAUCCACUGUGAUCUCAAGCCUGUGAGUAUAACCUCUGUCCUGCCAGGAGAGCAGGUUCUCUUUAGUGGCAGUUAGGGCAGCCAGCAUGGCCAGGGCUUCCAGAGUGGCAGCCCUAAA